GGUUAAGCGACUAAGCGUACACGGUGGAUGCCCUGGCAGUCAGAGGCGAUGAAGGGCGUGCUAAUCUGCGAUAAGCGCCGGUAAGGUGAUAUGAACCGUUAUAACCGGCGAUACCCGAAUGGGGAAACCCAGUGUGACUCGUCACACUAUCAUUAACUGAAUCCAUAGGUUAAUGAGGCGAACCGGGGGAACUGAAACAUCUAAGUACCCCGAGGAAAAGAAAUCAACCGAGAUUCCCCCAGUAGCGGCGAGCGAACGGGGAGGAGCCCAGAGCCUGAAUCAGCAUGUGUGUUAGUGGAAGCGUCUGGAAAGGCGCGCGAUACAGGGUGACAGCCCCGUACACAAAAGCGCAUGUGUUGUGAGCUCGAUGAGUAGGGCGGGACACGUGGUAUCCUGUCUGAAUAUGGGGGGACCA
rnacentral:rRNA from 1 species